UACGAAGGGGGCUAGCGUUGCUCGGAAUCACUGGGCGUAAAGCGCACGUAGGCGGCUUCUUAAAUCAGGGGUGAAAUCCUGGAGCUCAACUCCAGAACUGCCUUUGAUACUGAGGAGCUUGAGUCCGGGAGAGGUGAGUGGAACUGCGAGUGUAGAGGUGAAAUUCGUAGAUAUUCGCAAGAACACCAGUGGCGAAGGCGGCUCACUGGCCCGGUACUGACGCUGAGGUGCGAAAGCGUGGGGAGCAAACAGG
rnacentral:rRNA from 1 species